AAAAAAAAUUAGCCAAAAUCAGAAGUCUCUUGUGUCCUAGAAGUUUUCAUUGAGUGCUACUUCCUAAGGUAAAAAAUGUUGAGUUUGACCAAAAGAUACAGAUGAUCAAAACAUUAAAAUUAUGAAGCAGAAAAUAUGGCACAUAUGCAAAGACAGAAAAAAGGGGAACUUUUGUGGAAACUUUGAGAAGUACCCAGUCUUAGGCCCAGCAAAAAACAAAGGCAGAAAAACCCACCUUAAAACACUGGCAUUGUUACUCUCAGAAAAGAAUGAGCAUUUUAAGGGACUUGAAGUCUCUUGUUGGCUGUCUCCCUUGAACUACCUGGAGAAGACAUCUCACAGAGUUGUAAACACUUUAAGG